UACGUAGGUGGCAAGCGUUGUCCGGAUUUACUGGGCGUAAAGAGCGCGUAGCGGUCGUUCAAGUCGCGUGUGAAAGCCCCCGGCUCAACUGGGGAGGGUCACGCGAUACUGAUCGACUCGAGGCAGGAGAGGGUAGUGGAAUUCCGUGUAGUGGUGAAAUGCGUAGAUAUCGGGAGGAACACCAGUGGCGAAGGCGGCUCACUGGCCCGAUACUGACGCUGAGGCACGAAAGCGUGGGAGCAAC
rnacentral:rRNA from 1 species